rnacentral:lncRNA from 1 species
CGCCCAGCAGCGCCUCAAGCCCGUGGUGGCGGCGGGGCUGUCUCUUUAAGCGCUCCGGAGGGGCUGGGGCGGGAGGGCGGCGAGCGCGUUUCCAUGGCACCGGGGCUGCGGGGGCUGCUGGGCCACUGGGCUCACUCGGUUUCAGUUGCUCCCGGCGGAGCAGGGGCAUGCAGCUCAGCGGCCACCGAGCCUCUGGGGCUCGCCCGGCCGCUCCUCGCGCUCCCAGACGCCUGUGACGCCUGUUGGGGCCAAGCUGCUGCCGUUCCCUCCGCAGACAGACGCGCCGCGCCAGCCUCACGAGCCCUGCACCAACUUCUGCCCGACAAGCCCAACUUCUGCGCCGGGUUCGGACUUGCGGAGCCGGAACGGCGCACCGCGCGCAGCCCGGGCGGCGGCCAGGGCGGAUCAGCCUCGCCGAGAUGUCCUCGCGACUGUGGCUCUGGUGCUUCUGCCUGGGCGGUUGCCGGCUGGCCGCCAGGAAGCGCCCUACAGCUCCGGCUGGGCAUGCCAAGUGUUUGUGAAGAACAGCAAGUGACUGUGGUUGGACUUGCACACCCAUGUGUUUGGGCAUUCACACACAUUGUCAAGCUCUGCAAACAAGGCUGUACUGGCUCAAGUUGGUAUGUGAGCUAUGAAAGAAGCUAUCGCUGCAGUGGGAACUUGUUUCAAUGGAAGAAAAUGCUCAGAUGGUGAAGGCCAGUAGUGCCAGUGUUCAGAGGGAUUUCAUGGACCCCACUGUCAAUAACAGUCCUCUUUUCCGUCUUCUCAUUCCUGUGGAUCUGUCCUGUAGCCUUUCCACGCUAUCCUCAGGCUCAUCUGUUUUCUGAAGAUGGGAAAAGCCCUUUGGACAAGAUAUAAAUGAAUGUACCAUUGACAAUGGUGGCUGUCAAGAUCGAUGCUGUAAUACAGUUGGCAGUUAUUACUGCAAAUGUCAAGCUGGCCAGAAGCUGGAGGAAGAUGGCAAAGGAUGUGAAGAUGUCGAUGAACGUGCAGUGGUGAAUGGAGGCUGCCAGCAGCGCUGUAUUAACACUCUGGGCACCUUCCACUGUGAAUGUGAUACGGGAUAGAGACUGCAUGCUGAUGAACGCACCUGCAUAAAAAUGGACCCCUGCACAGGUGGGAAUGGAUGUGUUCACAUAUGUCAGAGUGAGAAUGGCACGGCCAGGUGUGCCUGUCAUGCAGGGUACCAGCUGCCUGAAGAUAAAAACAUUUGUGAAGAUAUAAAUGAGUGUGCUGAAGGUCUUUCUUACUGUGGCCACUGCUGUGUAAACUCUAUGGGAUCUUUCACUUGUGCCUGCCAAACUGGCUUUGAGCUGGGAGCUGAUAGAAAACAAUGUUACAGUAAUUGGCAACAGUCACAGCCCAGGGAUUGAAUUGGAAAUUGUCAAUAGCUGUGAAAAGAACAAUAGUGUUUGUUCCCAUCACCGUGAACAUGAAAUUGGUGCUCCCCGUUGUUCCUGUAACCAUGGACACCAGCUUGAUUCUGAUGAGAAAACAUGCAUAGAUCUUGACGAAUGUGAGAAUGGAGAAGCCUGCUGUGCCCAGCUCUGCAUCAACUAUUUAGGAGGCUACAAAUGCAGAUGUCAGGAAGGCUUUCAGAUCACUUCCAAUGGUUGUGAAUGUGAUGAUGUGGAUGAGUGUCUGGAUGUCAGUAUAGUCUGUGACCAACUACAUUAAUUCUGUGGGAACAUACGAAUGUAGUUGUGAAGAAGGCUACAGAAUUGGAAAUGACAGAAAAACUUACCCCUCUUUAGAUGAUGAUGAGCUAGAGGAAGAAGAAGAGGAAUGAGAAGUUGUGAGGUUUCCAGGUCUUCUAUUCAAGAGCCCACCUCAACAGCUUCAUUAUGUUGCUACUUUUCUGCCUCCCACCUACAAAGAUGAAGAAGAUGAGGAGGAAGAGGAAAAAGAUAUUCAUAGAGAACUGACUGCUUUGCACAAUUUUGUCUGUUUAGAUCACAUCUUUGGACACAAUUGCAGCUUGAGCUGCAAGGACUGCAUGAAUGGAGGAAAGUGCCAGGAAGGAAAGAGUGAAUGCUCCUGCCCAGCAGGUUGCCGUGUCAUUCUUUGUAAUGAAAACUGUCUCGAGGAUGCCUACGGAGCUGGCUGCACUUCAGAAUGUCAGUGUGUGGAGGAGAAUACCCUGGAAUGCAGUGCCAAAAAUGGUAGUUGCACCUGCAAAUCUGGUUACCAAGGCAACAGAUGCCAGAAAGAUGGCCUCUGGGGACCAGAGGGCUGGUUCUCCUCUGCACCCUGUGAAAAUGGAGGUCAGUGCAACAAAAAAACUGGAAAUUGUGACUGCACUCCUGAUUACACAAGAAAAUCCUGUACCAUAUUGAGAUGCAUUUCCCUUACCAAUCUGGCUCUCAGCAGGCGGUCCAGCCCGAUGAAGUAUCAGCAAAAUGUCAGCUCCCACAGAGAAGUGCGACAGAGGCAACAGUGCAGCAGUGACAGGCCUUUCAAAAAGCUAUUGUGCAAAUUCAGUUUUAAAAUAGGGAUGUAGUUGAGGACUGAUGGGUAUUUCAUUACCAAUGCGUUCAUCUCCCCCAUCGUCCAAGAGAAUGAGAGGGGGUCAUGGUGCAGCUGAUAUAAAGCCAUUAAGUUGAGUAGCGGUUGAUUUGGUCUGUAGAAGAUUUGUCUUCCUAUCUGUAUUUUUGAAAAGUUAAUAUUCAAAUUAGCUGUCAUUUUUAGUACAUACCUGCUAAAGGGGGGCCAAGAAUUGUUCUGUUUUCUACUUGAUCACCUUCCAGUGUCUCAAUUAGAUCAUUAAAAACAAAGUUAAUCAUGUCAUUACUUUAUAAACCUCAUUGAGCUACUGAUACUGUUCAUAAUGAAGUUCGUAGCACUAAAGACCCAUCAUCAACCUGUCUCUAGCCAGCUUUUGACCAUGCUUACGUAUACCCUACAUAUUUUAGUCAUUCCCCCAACAUCAUGUACAUUUAAAACAUGGUGCCAUUGUUCAUUGCUCUUUCCUGUAAUACAUGUUUUCUUCUUCCAUUUUUAUUCCCUCAAGCAUUUAUUCCUCAAGCAUUUUUAUUUUCCAGUAUAUGUAAACAAAAUACUAGAGCCCUUCUUUCCAUAGCAGCACCAAUCAUAUUGUAUUAUAAUUAGUUGCCUGCUAUUAAGACUGCUUAUCAUUAAUUUUUGUACACCCCACUUUUCAAUAUACAAGGGGUACUCAAUAAAGAUUUGCUAGAUUCAAUUAAAGAACAUUUUUGACAACUUAAAAUUCCAUCGAAAUAAUUUACUGAGUAAAAAAAAAAAAAACUUGCAAAACACAGCGUUUAUGAUACUGAAAAAUACCCAGUAACCAAUACUCGUUAAACUGGAUUGAAUUACUCAGCCUUUUAAUAUAGCAAGAGGAAAUCAAGAAAGCUGUAGCACCACAGCUUUAUUGGUCUGUACUCCAUUUCUGAAAACACUUUUCAUGAGAAGAUUUUUCAAUGGAUUAGAAGACUAACAUCAGACAAUGAUGAUUCCUUAGCUUCAUCUCAAGAGUCCAGAUUAUUUCCUUCUAUACUCACUUUCAAUGUAUGCAAUCAUUCCUUUUAAAUACAACAGAGUUACCUUAGAAAAGUAAACAAAUGUAGGCUGGACGCCGUGGCUCACACCUGUAAUCCCAGCACUUUGGGAAGCCGAGGCGGGAGGAUCACUUGAGGUCGGGAGUUCAAGACCAGCCUGGCCAACCCCAUCUCUACUGAAAAUACAAAAAUUAGCCUGGAGUGGUGGCACACGCCUGUAAUCCCAGCUACUCAGGAGGCUGAGGCAGGAGAAUCACUUGAACCCGGGAGGCAGAGGUUGCAGUGAGCUGAGAUUGCGCCAUUGCACUCCAGCCUGGGCGACAA